rnacentral:lncRNA from 1 species
UUGAAGUUUAUUUUCACAGCUUGGCUUUUACUCAAAUGAGAGUUGAUAUCCCACACUACUUAUAUUUCUUUCAUGUUUCAUUUUAUGAAUUACAGAAAAUUGAUAUUUUUCUGCAGAUAUUACAAUAAGGAAACUCAUUUAAUCGGUUACAACAAUGGCAAUUCCUGCAUGUUCAGGAAGGAACUUUGUUUCCCAUUAUGAGGGGAAAAGUUAAAGUACUUUGUAUAGAAAAGAAAUAGUGAGUGUGUGAUGUUAUCUGUUCCCUCCUUUAUAUACCGACCAGUAACGUUGUUAGCCUAUAAACAGAGGAUUAACAGUAAGCCCAGUCACAUCAUUUGGAUUGUGAAAUCAAAACAUUCAUUUCAAUGUGUAAGUAAUGCAUUGUUGUAACAUUAGGCAUCGCUGCCACAUUACCAUUUGUAACAGGGCCUCUGUUUGCGCUACCAACCUUUCCGUGCAGUCAGUACACGAUGUGCAUAUAUCAGUUUUGUGAAAUUAAGCGAACUUCAAAAUGUCGUACCUAUUUGCCGUCUGAUUUUGAUGAAAUUUUCAGCGAUAGGCUUGAUUAAUUUUUCACUUUUUAUCCAAUCCAACCUUUUAUUGGGGUGGAUUUCCCCUUGAAAAAAAGAGAUUAUAUAAAAUGUGGUAAACUGUGGAGGUUUAAAUGGGGAGAGAAGUCGGUAGUUGAUUAAAGGAUAACACAGGUGAAAGUGGGGAUUGGAAAAUGCAAGUCAAUGGAAAUGCAAUUUAUUGAUAGAGUACAAUGAUCCAAACAGUUUAUAUACACAGCAUCUUCAUUGAUGGUGCCACAAACUUUUUUAAUUACACAAAAUAAUUGAUUCAACCCUUCAAGUCCAGAAACACAGGUCAAUACAGAAAAGUCUGAACUAUGAUAUGUGUGGCUGAAUUGCAGGAACAAAAGGGCUUGUGUGAAAUUCGUUCCUAAAUACACUGUACAGAUACAUAAUUUAAAAAAACAAAAACCAAAAAACGAUAACAUUACAGAGAAAAAGGAAACAUACGUUCAAUGAUCAAAUUCAAUAACCGUGUUCCAUUUUCGAGAAGUCUAUACAUAGUAAGAUUUAAUUGUUUCUCUCUCUGCUAGGACCAUUGAAAUAUAAUGCCAAGGGGCUGUUUUAUGAAAUCAUUUGUAAAGUUAUUUCGGAGUAAACAAAUGACUUGAACACCAAGUGCGACAAGAGAUUCCAAAUUUUUCCCAAUAAUAAAAAAAAUGUGACUUGUUUUCAAGCGAUUCUAUAUCAAAUGUCAUGUCGAUACACUUUGCACAAAAACAUUGUUUUAAAACAAAUAUUAUUGGAAAUGAACAUCAUUAUCAUCUCAAUUUGUGACUGAUUCAUUGAUUAAUUAGGCAAUGCACAUGGCUUGCCAUAUUCCAGUCACUCAUAAAAGUCAUCCCUAACUUUUAACCAAAGCUUUAUGAAGCAACCCUAGAAGUCGGGGGCAGCAUCUUAUAUAUUUAUUGUCCAUCCCAGCAAAGUCUUCCCAUUUCUUGCUGCAAUAGGUCCACUUCACUACCAAACACAUUGGCAGAGUAAUUUCAUGAACAUUCAAAAAGUACUAGUUACAAACAAGUCCAUACAAUCAUUACAAAAAUAAUUCCAUAUUCAUUAAGCUAUCAAAACAAACAAACAAAAGAGUCUACAGAGGAUACAAGGUUCAUGAAGUACAUACUUUGCAAUCAAGUAAUAAUAAUCUCAUUGAUUAGAAAAAUCGCUUUGGAAAAAAAAAAUAUGCAACAGAGCUUGUUGAAUCCAUAUGUACAGAAAAAGUAAUAAUAAUUCUAUUUUAUAACUGCCUACAACAAUGAAUAUACAGUACAAAAAUGUAUUUGAAAAAAAGUAUUAAGAAUUGACAAUUCAAAAAGUACUGUACCAAUGUCACAGUCUUGUUACGGCAUAGCCAUGGUUCGGAACGAAAAAUCUAGAGCACACUCCAGGACUGAUGUUGGCUUCAAUUACUUGGAAUUUCACUUGGAUAAAACACUGCUAAUUUUGGUAUUCAGUGAAUGAUUUCGCUUUAGUAUAUUACCCUAAAUCUAGGACAACUCUAGACAAGUCUGAUGCCAAUUAUUUUGAAAUAUUAUUGGCAGGUAAAGAUUUAUGCAGUACCACUCUAAAAGUACCACCUUUAGAGACAAACAUAUUUGACAAUAUAACAUCACAAUGCUUUUUUGGGGGGAAAUACUAUGAGCUAAAUACAAAAUAACUUAAUUUCUUUGCCAAGUAAAAUUAAAUAGUUUCCAAUAGAAUACCAGCCCACUUAUGUAUCAGAGAGAUAAAGCUACAACUUGUAUUGUUAGCAACCAACCAUUGCAAAAUUUCAAACCAGUUGACAUGGGGAGUGGCUUGGACAUCACACUUCUAAGGCCCCGUCUUCCAAAUGAGACUUAUCUCAAAUUGCGCAAAUAAGAGAUAAGAAAUGUGAUCAGUCUCCAUUUGAGUUUGAUUGAAUGUAUUGCAGUUGUUUGUAAGACAGGGUCUCAUCCUUUUUAAGCAUAUAAUUGUUGCUGAUAGUGUAAUAAUAAUAGUCCACUUUUAUAUAGCGCUUAAUACAUCAAAAUGACGUCUUUAAGCACUUUACAGAUAUAUUAGAGAGUGGCAAAGUGUGUAUUGACGCUUUGCCAAAGGACGCUAGGCCAUGAAUUCGAACACACGACCCUCUGACUGCAAGGCAAGAGUCAGAACCACUACACCACGACGCUUCCACUUUAAAUGCAAGUGUAGGCUUACAUAACUCAUUUGAUCUGUCCCAAGGCUGUCAGCUCAAGCCAGUAACCGGUAAAACUUGCCGGUUAUUCACUCGUCUCUUACCUGCUAUGAUACAUACAUGUAAACCAUGCCAAAUUCACAGAAAGAUAACAAAAUGCUUGCCUAAUGUACCUCCUAUGAAACUGAAAUUGUCUGCUUCAUAGUUAAUUAACAAGACCCCUGCUGUCCAAGCUAUGGUUUCAAAAGAAAGACAUGCAUUUUGAGAUAAAUGCUUUUAAUGGGCAAUUUGGAAUGUUCAAAAUAGGUUUUCAAAUUUAUAUCAAGAGAUAAUGUUAGUAUAAUAUCUAAGGAAUUAAUUGUGAAACUGAUGAAUUUCAUGACAUUACAAAAAUUUGAGACUAGUUUGAAUAUCUAAGAAAUCAUCACUGCACUUUUAACUUUUACAUGUUAUUCGAUUUUAGACCCUUCAGACACUUAAUGAAAACAAAAACAAUUUGCAGAUACAGACUACAGUAAGGCGCAAACGGUAAAUCAUUCCUUCAUGCGUGUAAUGACUAUAUAUAUUUACACAAUGGAGAGGUUCAAGGCAAUUAGCAAAUCAAUAAUGAUGAGUGCAUUGAACAUGACAUACUCUUUUGUUUUAAAAUACCAAAGGUCUUUGUUAUGUUUUAUUUACAAAGCCAUGCGGAUUACUUUACAAUAACAAUUUAUUCAGCUACCAGCAAUAUCUCAUGAGUAAUGAUCUGUAAUAGUUAUAAACAUUCCCUAUCAUUCAAUGUAAAAUGCCUAGAGUUUGUAUCAUUUAGCAAUCGGGGGAGCAUUUCAUCAAUACUGUCCGAUAAGAUGUCAGAUCUGACAACUUUCCUCGAUGUUGAUUGGCUAAAAAGCAGAGUUACUAUGGCAACUGUUGGAUAAAACGUCCGACAACUCCUUUCAUGAAACGCUCCCCAGGAAGAAAUAAUACUUCACUGUUUAUAUAUUACAGCUUGAAGCAAAAUAAGAACCAUUAACGCAUGAACUUAAUUAUGCUUUACCCAUACAAUCAUGCUCCAAUGACAAUUGCUUUGGUCUUAACUUAAAAUAAAGAACUAGGAUUGGGGUAGUGAUACAUUUUUCAGUUCAGAUUAAUAUCAGGAUAUCGAUAAGGGUGAGGAAUGAGAUAAGAUUUAGCGUUGGUUUGAUGUGUUGAUCAAUUGUCGCAAAAGCAUGUCAUGGAUUGUUUAUGGAUUAUUUCUGAGAAUGAAAGAAUGAGUUCAUAAAAAAUAGGCUAUAA